GACAGAAGGUGCAAACGUUGUUCGGAAUUACUGGGCGUAAAGCGCGUGUAGGCUGCUUGGAAAGUCGGAUGUGAAAGCCCUGGGCUUAACCCAGGAAGUGCAUUCGAAACUUCCAAGCUCGAGUCCUGGAGAGGGUGGCGGAAUUCUCGGUGUAGAGGUGAAAUUCGUAGAUAUCGAGAGGAACACCGGUGGCGAAGGCGGCUACCUAAACAGUGACUAACGCUGAAACGCGAAAGCAUGGGGAGCAAACAGG
rnacentral:rRNA from 1 species